GCAUAUCAAUAAGCGGAGGAAAAGAAACCAACAGGGAUUGCCCUAGUAACGGCGAGUGAAGCGGCAACAGCUCAAAUUUGAAAUCUGGCUCUCUUUGGGGGUCCGAGUUGUAAUUUGCAGAGGAUGCUUUGGCAUUGGCGGCGGUCUAAGUUCCUUGGAACAGGACAUCACAGAGGGUGAGAAUCCCGUACGUGGUCGCCUGCCCUUGCCGUGUAAAGCUCCUUCGACGAGUCGAGUUGUUUGGGAAUGCAGCUCUAAAUGGGAGGUAAAUUUCUUCUAAAGCUAAAUACUGGCCAGAGACCGAUAGCGCACAAGUAGAGUGAUCGAAAGAUGAAAAGUACUUUGGAAAGAGAGUCAAAAAGCACGUGAAAUUGUUGAAAGGGAAGCGCUUGCAGCCAGACUUGCCCGCAGUUGCUCACCUAGGCUUUCGCCUGGGGCACUCUUCUGCGGGCAGGCCAGCAUCAGUUUGGGCGGUUGGAUAAAGGCCUCUGUCACGUAUCUCCCUUCGGGGUGACCUUAUAGGGGAGGCGCAAUGCAACCAGCCCGGACUGAGGUCCGCGCAUCUGCUAGGAUGCUGGCGUAAUGGCUGUAAGCGGCCCGUCUUGAAACACGGACCAAGGAGUCUAACAUCUAUGCGAGUGUUUGGGUGUCAAGCCCGAGCGCGCAAUGAAAGUGAACGGAGGUGGGAACCCUUUGGGUGCACCAUCGACCGAUCCUGAUGUCUUCGGAUGGAUUUGAGUAAGAGCAUAGCUGUUGGGACCCGAAAGAUGGUGAACUAUGCUUGAAUAGGGUGAAGCCAGAGGAAACUCUGGUGGAGGCUCGCAGCGGUUCUGACGUGCAAAUCGAUCGUCAAAUUUGGGCAUAGGGGCGAAAGACUAAUCGAACCAUCUAGUAGCUGGUUCCUGC
rnacentral:rRNA from 1 species